GCUUCAGGAACAGCCGCCGCCGCCUCUUGAGGCGCUGAAUGGGAACAAUGGGAGCGCCCGCCCAAAGACCUCGCCGCCCGCUCAGUCAGUCCUGGUGUGCUGAGGAAAGUCAACAGCAUCUCCAAGUAUUCGAACCGAUAUCGUCUCAAGUGCCUCCGAGUCUAUCGUUAUACAUCAACAUCCAUGAAUAAAUAACUUUAUUGGAGUUUAGAUGGCCA